AGAUCUGGCAGUGGGAAAGGUAGAUAGGGUGAUGGCACUCAAGUAGUUGACGGUCAAGAGGCAGGAAUCCUAAGAAGGAAGUGCUAAUGCACAGAUCCUGAUGCUGAAGAAAUCUAGUGAAGUCUGAAGAUGGUAACUGAGAAAUAAAAAGAAAGGAGUUUGGAGAAGGUAUAGACCAGAUCAGACUGGAGCUACGGUGCCAUGAUUCUACCCAUCUGGAAACUGAAGCCCAGAAAAACUCUUCAUUCUCUAAGUGGGGUCACCCAUGAUAUCUCACCGUGGCAUCAGGGAAGUAGCUAGUACAUCAAGCAAAGGAAGUUAUGUCAUUGGAGCAUGCCUUUGAUAGAAAUAUUGGGAACCUAGCCUUUUCUUGUUCCUGCUUUUACUCCCUGGCCACCACAAGCUAAGCAACUCCUUCUGUCUUGUGCUGCCACAAUGAUCUUCUCUCAUUCUACAGGUCCAGGAGCAAUGUGUCUACCUAUUGUGGAUAGAAACUUCCCAAAGUGUGAGGUGAAAGAAGCCUUUAAGGUGACUUUUCUCGGGUAUUUUGGUACAGUAAUGGAAAUGAUAAGUAUAGGGACAUCAAAUUCUCUGGAAAAGAUGGUUCUGUUCUAAAGAGAUCAAGUGAGUUGGGAUCGUGUAAUAUUGAACACCCCAGUUUUCUGCAAUCCUCCUCAUGCUUCCUUAAACAUCAUCUUCCCUGUAACCUCCUAUAUCCCUAUAUGCUCCCACUUCAUGUUCCUCCUGACCCCUGUGAAACCACCUGCUGUCUCUGGGGCUAUCUUUUGUAUGUAUGUCUUUAAUAUCAUUUAAAACAUAAAUUCAUGUUUUUGUGUGUUUAUA